rnacentral:rRNA from 1 species
UACGUAGGCAGCGAGCGUUUGUUCGGAAUUACUGGGCGUAAAGAGUGUGUAGGCGGUGCUCUAAGUUCGGUGUGAAAUCUCCUGGCUCAACUGGGAGGGUGCGCCGGAAACUGGAGUGCUUGAGCGUGGGAGAGGAAAGCGGAAUUCCUGGUGUAGCGGUGAAAUGCGUAGAUAUCGGGAGGAACACCAGUGGCGAAGGCGGCUUUCUGGCCUGUUCUUGACGCUGAGGCGGCGAAAGCUAGGGGAGCAAACGGGG